UAGUCCAAACCGUAAAUGAUGCUCGCUAGGUGUAUUCUCCAUUUGGAGGGUGUGCUGUAAGCUAACGCGUUAAGCGAGUCGCCUGAGUAGUAUAGUCGCAAGACCGAAACUCAAAGGGAUAGGCGGGGGAACACACAAGCAGAGGAUUGCCUCGAUUAAUUGGAUAAUACGCCAAGAAUCUUACCCAGGCUUGACAUCCCGAGAACUUUUUGGAAACAUUUAGGUGCCCUUCGGGGAACUCGGUGACAGAUGCUGCAUGGCCGUCGUCAGCUCGUGCCGCAAGGUGUCCGGUUAAGUCCGGAAACGAGCGCAACCCUCGUCGCUAGUUAGAAUGUCUAGCGAGACUGCCUCGGUAACGAGGAGGAAGGAGAGGGAUGACGUCAGGUCACUAUGGCUCUUACGCCUGGGGGCUCAGAGACAAUACAAUGACUAGUACAGCAGGUAGCGAAACCGCGAGGUGGAGCCAAUCCCUAAAACU
rnacentral:rRNA from 1 species